CACGUAGGGCGCAAGCGUUGUCCGGAAUUAUUGGGCGUAAAGAGCUCGUAGGCGGUCUGUUGCGUCCGCUGUGAAAACUCGGGGCUUAACCCCGAGCCUGCAGUGGAUACGGGCAGACUAGAGGUAGGUAGGGGAGAAUGGAAUUCCCGGUGUAGCGGUGAAUGCGCAGAUAUCGGGAGGAACACCGGUGGCGAAGGCGGUUCUCUGGCCUUACCUGACGCUGAGGAGCGAAAGCGUGGGAGCGAACAGG
rnacentral:rRNA from 1 species